UACGUAGGGUGCGAGCGUUAAUCGGAAUUACUGGGCGUAAAGCGUGCGCAGGCGGUUUGUUAAGACAGAUGUGAAAUCCCCGGGCUUAACCUGGGAACUGCAUUUGUGACUGGCAAGCUAGAGUAUGGCAGAGGGGGGUAGAAUUCCACGUGUAGCAGUGAAAUGCGUAGAGAUGUGGAGGAAUACCGAUGGCGAAGGCAGCCCCCUGGGCUAACACUGACGCUCAGGCACGAAAGCGUGGGGAGCAAACAGG
rnacentral:rRNA from 1 species